rnacentral:rRNA from 1 species
AACGAACGCUGGCGGCGUGCCUAACACAUGCAAGUCGAGCGCGAAAAGGGCAACCUGAGUAGAGCGGCGCACGGGUGCGUAACACGUGGGUAAUCUGCCUUAGAGUCGAGGAUAACCUUCCGAAAGGUUGGCUAAUACUCGGUAAGCUUACGGUGUCUUCGGACGCUGUGGGAAAAGUAGGCCUCUGUUUACAAGCUUACGCUCUGAGAUGAGCCCGCGGCCCAUCAGCUAGUUGGCGGUGUAACGGACCACCAAGGCAACGACGGGUAGCUGGUCUGAGAGGACGAUCAGCCACACUGGAACUGAGACACGGUCCAGACUCCUACGGGAGGCAGCAGUGGGGAAUUUUCCACAAUGGGCGAAAGCCUGAUGGAGCAACGCCGCGUGUGUGAUGAAGGUUUUCGGAUCGUAAAGCACUUUCGACUGGGACGAAAAACCUUUGGCUAACAUCCAGGGGCCUGACGGUACCAGGAGAAGAAGCACCGGCUAACUCUGUGCCAGCCGCCGCCGUAAUAC